UACGAAGGGUGCUAGCGUUGUUCGGAUUUACUGGGCGUAAAGCGCACGUAGGCGGCUUCUUAAGUCAGGGGUGAAAUCCCGAGGCUCAACCUCGGAACUGCCUUUGAUACUGGGGAUCUCGAGUUCGGGAGAGGUGAGUGGAAUUGCGAGUGUAGAGGUGAAAUUCGUAGAUAUUCGCAAGAACACCAGUGGCGAAGGCGGCUUCCUGGACAGAUACUGACGCUGAGGUGCGAAAGCGUGGGGAGCAAAAAGG
rnacentral:rRNA from 1 species